GAUCCUGGCUCAGGAUGAACGCUAGCUACAGGCUUAACACAUGCAAGUCGAGGGGCAGCAUGGUCUUAGCUUGCUAAGGCUGAUGGCGACCGGCGCACGGGUGAGUAACACGUAUCCAGCCUGCCGUCUACUCUUGGCCAGCCUUCUGAAAGGAAGAUUAAUCCAGGAUGGCAUCAUGAGUUCACAUGUCCGCAUGAUUAAAGGUAUUUUCCGGUAGACGAG
rnacentral:rRNA from 1 species